rnacentral:rRNA from 1 species
AUUGAACGCUGGCGGCAUGCCUAACACAUGCAAGUCGAACGGUAACAGAACUAGCUUGCUAGUUGCUGACGAGUGGCGGACGGGUGAGUAAUGUAUAGGGAUCUGCCUAGUAGUGGGGGACAACAUGUGGAAACGCAUGCUAAUACCGCAUACGCUCUACGGAGGAAAGUGGGGGACCUUUCGGGGCCUCAUGCUACUAGAUGAACCUAUAUUGGAUUAGCUAGUUGGUAAGGUAAUGGCUUACCAAGGCGACGAUCCAUAGCUGGUUUGAGAGAAUGGUCAGCCACACUGGGACUGAGACACGGCCCAGACUCCUACGGGAGGCAGCAGUGGGGAAUAUUGCACAAUGGGCGCAAGCCUGAUGCAGCAAUGCCGCGUGUGUGAAGUAGGCCUUAGGGUUGUAAAGCACUUUCAGACGUGAGGAAAAGUUAUAAGUUAAUAACUUAUAACCUUGGCGUUAACGUCAGAAGAAGGACCGGCUAACUCCGUGCCAGCAGCCGCGGUAAUACGGAGGGUCCAAGCGUUAAUCGGAAUUACUGGGCGUAAAGCGCGCGUAGGCGGAUAUUUAAGUCAGAUGUGAAAUCCCUGGGCUCAACCUAGGAACUGCAUUUGAUACUGGGUAUCUAGAGUAUGGUAGAGGUGAGUGGAAUUUCAGGUGUAGCGGUGAAAUGCGUAGAGAUCUGAGGGAACAUCAGUGGCGAAAGCGACUCACUGGGCCAUUACUGACGCUGAGGUGCGAAAGCGUGGGUAGCAAACAGGAUUAGAUACCCUGGUAGUCCACGCCCUAAGCGAUGUCAACUAGUUGUAUGGGAGUUUAACUCCUGUGUAUCGAAGCUAACGCGAUAAGUUGAC